rnacentral:rRNA from 1 species
CCUACGGUGUGCAGCAGUGAGGAAUAUUGGUCAAUGGACGCAAGUCUGAACCAGCCAUGCCGCGUGCAGGAUGACGGCUCUAUGAGUUGUAAACUGCUUUUGUACGAGGGUAAACCCCGAUACGUGUAUCGGGUUGCAAGUAUCGUACGAACAAGCAUCGGCUAACUCCGUGCCAGCAGCCGCGGUAAUACGGAGGAUGCGAGCGUUAUCCGGAUUUAUUGGGUUUAAAGGGUGCGUAGGCGGGCUGUUAAGUCAGCGGUCAAAUGUCGGGGCUCAACCCCGGCCUGCCGUUGAAACUGGCGGCCUCGAGUGGGCGAGAAGUAUGCGGAAUGCGUGGUGUAGCGGUGAAAUGCAUAGAUAUCACGCAGAACUCCGAUUGCGAAGGCAGCAUACCGGCGCCCGACUGACGCUGAGGCACGAAAGUGUGGGUAUCAAACAGGAUUAGAUACCCGAGUAGUC